GGUAAGCUGUUUUGCAUCCUUGAGCCACCCUUGAAUUUUGACCUCUGCAAAUGGAUGUGAGCGUCACCUUCCUUGUUGAGCAGUGGCAGGGGCGUCCUAACCGACAUGGACAGCAAGAAGUCUCGAGCCCAUGUGGCUGUGUCUACACAGCGAGCUCCGUCAGGGUGUCCCCAACGGCUCUGCUCUGGAGAACGCCGGCCCUGUCAAGGAAGAUGAAUGGGGAGUCUGCAGAUGAGUUGUCCCAGGUCCUUGAACAAAUAAACUGCAAGGCAGAACACAGACUAGCUGAAAAGCCUGUGGAUUACAAGAGACUUCAACAUGUAUCAGAUUAACAAAAUGGGCAAAACCAGAUGAUGAUAUUUAGGAAUGCACCCUUUAAAACUGAAAAAGAGUGAUCAUUGCUCUUUAAGAGUU
rnacentral:lncRNA from 1 species